CGUAAAAUGAGAUUUUGUACACAAACAUGUCUCCUGAGUUUUUAUAUUAAUUAGAACAGCAGGUGUUGCCAAGGAUACGGAUUACAAUAACCUGAGGAAACCUCUGGAUGGAAAGCCGCUUGCUGCACUCGUUUCUCCUCCUGAGAGAAGAGGUCCAGGCACUCCUGCAGACUGACCUCCCCUCUGGAGCUCUUUUUAGGGAUGGGCAGCGACAGAUCACAGAAGACAUCGAACGUGUUGGAGUAGUGCGAGCAAACCGAGCAGUGCAGCGAGCUCCGCAGCUGACCUGAGAAAAGGUCUGUGAAGAGCGAGACCUGAGAGCACCUGCGAGAAAGCUGGCACAGGAAGAGCAGAAACUACCGUUCUGAGAAACCAGGGUUCGACACAGGGCAUCACAGGAGCCCUCCACGUUGACCCCACUGGAACCAGGCAUCUCGUUAUACCAAUCAAUCUGAGUGAAGCGGCAGUCUGAUGAUGUCCCAAG